AGUCUCGUGGCCGAGCGGUUCAGGCGGUGGUCUGCAAAACCAUUUACGGUGGUUCGAAUCCACCCGGGAUGU
rnacentral:tRNA from 1 species